rnacentral:tRNA from 1 species
GGUAAUAGCUCAGUGGUAGAGCACAUGCUUAGCAAGCAUGAGGUCCUGGGUUUAAUCCCCAGCACUUCCA